rnacentral:tRNA from 2 species
UGUUGGCUUUGAAGUAUAUAUUACGUUGAAUUGCAAAUUCAAAGAAGUAGUCAGAUGGCUGCCAAGGCUU